rnacentral:miRNA from 12 species
UAUUUAAUACAUUUGUACGUGUGUGUGUGUGUGUGUGUGUGUGUGCACGUGUGUGUGUAUAUAUAUAUACACACUACAUAUAUUAUAUAUAUAUAC